UGGGAAGGAGCCGGGGACGCGGGUGGUGUCAUGGCCGCCACGGGGCGGGAGCCGCCGCCGCCCUCGGGCCCGGGACGGGCGGGUUUCCUGAGGCAGGACUUGCUGCACGAUGUAACGUUUGUAAUUCCUACGUGCGUGUGGCCCGAACAAAGAUGCGUUGAAGUGUUCACAUCGCGUUCUGGCCCCUUUGUGCGGAGGAACUGCCCUUUUCCAGCCGCCGUGUGUGUGCAGUGGUGCUUCCUCCUGUUCGUUUGGAAACACGAGAGGAUCCUGACAGGAUUUGAGCCCCAUUCCUGCCCAGCGACCGUGGAGGUGACGGAGGGCCCUGCGAGCCACCAGGCCCAGCAAACCCCUUGGGUAGUGGGAGGCCCCAGGGCCCAGUGCAAGGCCUGUGGCCUCUGCUGCGUUUAAGCCAUUCAAUUUAAUACGUUUUUGCACCUCAUUCGAUUUUUCCACCCAUUGUCCAUUCUUAAAGACAAUUGCUGUGACUCAUGACUUGUCGUGGAGGGGACACAUGUGAAAUCCAGCUGCUGUGGCAUCCCCUGUUUAACUUUCAUCUGGGGGAACACGGCUUAUGCUUGAAUUACAUGGAAUUUUUUGGGGUUGUCAUCCCCGUGUAACAAGGAAAGGAAACAAAAGGAGAGGCUGGGAGGCAGAGGCGCCUCUUCUCAGCCCUCGGAGGAAGGAUGGAAGGUGCUGGAAGCAUGGCGACAAUAGAGGGCACUCUCGUCAUUGCACUUGAACAGAUCUUCUGUCUUCGAUGUCAUUUUGAUUUAGAAAAUAAAAAGGAAGUAGGAGCCACAUGCACCGCAGCCUGCCCAGUGUCAUCCCAGCUCAUCGGCUCUUUGGGUGUCAAAGGGAGCGGUGCCUGAGCUGCACCAAGGUGUGCACAGCGCUGACACACACACCACCCUGUCUGGGCUGUGCAAACUUCUGCAGAAGACGCUUUGCUUUCUGAGAGUUUGCUCUAAACCCACAGAAAGUCAAUGGCCGUUUUUCCAAUGGGGUCUUGCUCUCUGUAGGAAGAUCAAGUGCCUGACCCUGCCUGAGAGGCUGCAUGUGGAAGAUGCGUUGUGCGUGGGCUGCAGCUGCUGCCCGCCGGCCCUGGGCCACCGUUGGCAGCAUGUGCCCAGCAAAAGCUCCUUCCACAGAGACAGUGUUGAAAAAGGACAUUCAGUCCCAGCAGAGAUUCCCUUGUGCUCAUCCGAACGUCAUCUUAACGUCUAUUUUUGGAUCACGUCUUCCUUCCAAAUCAAACACCUGGCAUGUGAGCGUGGGUCCCACUGGGAUGGAAUCUCUGCUGCGGAGCAUUUACGAUGCAAAGCCCAGACCAGAAUCCUGCAUGAGAUGCUUUUCCCCCGGCUCCCUGGAUGCAGAGGAUGGACCAGCAAGGUUGAGCAGCACCUUCCCUGACCCAGAACCAUCUCCUGCCUUGCACUAUGAACCGCAGGGCAAGUCUGGCCUUAGAAGUCACAGCCUUGGAAUAUUUAUUGGUUCUUCACACGACUGACAAAACAGAAAUGAGGCAAGAAACAGGGCUGGAUGCAGAGCAACACUUUAGUUGUGGAGAGUUCAGGGCUUUCAGACUGGUUUCAUUCUUUUUAUUUUUCUUUUUUUUCUUUCUUUUGGUGACAUUUUAGUUGUUGUGGCUUCUUUUCCUUUAGGAGACUCUAAUUGGCUAAAGCCAAAGUUGUUGAUGGGAGCUGAUUUGACAAAUUUCCCAGUUCAAAACCAUUUCCUUCGGGAGGAAGCAUUGAAACUGUUGAAACAAGCAUGUCUGUAGUCUUUAAACAAAAAAUGUUUUGGUUUAGGGUUCAAAAUAAGUUGAAAAUAAGCAAGACAAAUAAAAGAGUCAAUUUUAGCUUGAAAAAUGAAAGACAAAACCAUCUAAAUCAAAACGAACCCUGUUUUCAUAUCACUUACAUACAGUGGUUUUAUAGCCCUGAAUUAUUUAUUUAACAUUUCAUUCUCAAGUCAUGAAAAAUCUCUAGUUUCAGUGCUUGUCUUAAUUGGAAGGGGAUAUUUUUUCAGCGGGUGCAGUUUGGAAAGCAGCUCCGGUCUCUAAAGCUGUUUUUUCCCCUCUGGUGUUCAGAGCUGCUUGGUUUGCAGACUCGGCUCUUCCCAUCUCAAAUGGGAGAAAUCCCUCCUGGGUGUGGAGACAAAGCCCUCGGUGGGUGAAAUGGGUUCCAGGAGAGGACAUGGCACAGGUGAUCCAGGGCUGCUGACUGAUUAAAGUGAACCAGAGAAGAUUUUUCUGAUACUGAAGUGACUUCUGAACAGGCACCAUCAACUUCUGCCUUAAUAAUCCUAAUAGCCCAUGUUGAGUGCCCAAUCCAAGACCUUGUAGGAACCAACCUGCUUUUUUGGUGACUUCAGUGACAUUUGAAGAAGGUUUGUAAGCCUUGAUGAAAAAUUUUCCACCAAAAUGUGGCACACUCUGUCUUGGACCAUGACAAUAAAUAUUCGCCCAUAUUACCUGCAUCACUCAGGCUUUCUUUAGAUGGAAGUUGGGUCUAUCUACUCCUUCACUCAUCUUACCUCAUUUCCAAAUUCCUGACGGUCCCUGAAAAGGGGCGAAGAGGCUGGUGAUGCUGAGCAGGUGGCAGGGGAAGCAAAAAGGCUAAUUUGGUGUCACAGUUUAGGAACUGAUAGUGGAUUAAGAAACUAUGAAUAAAUUUUGCUUCUAGAUAUUACUUUAAAUGUUGUUUUACUUGAAUUCAAGGUCAAUGUAUUGACCUUCUCAAGAUUAAUGCCUCAAUGAUUUAGGAAGAAAAAGCAUAUGCAAGGCCAAAUUGAUUCUUGUGUUAAUUAUGUCUUUGUACAACACAAAAUGUAUUUUGAUACAUUUUCCAUGAUACCUGGAAAGACAUUUCUGCUCAUCAGGUUAUUGAUGUUCCAGGCAAUGACAAGGAUGCUGGGAGUGUACAGAUUGCUUAAGCGGUAUUCCUUAUGCACAAACAUUUCUUCACUGCAAAAACCUACUAAAACAAGUAAAUUUCCCAUGAAAUGAGAUGAGAUCUGUUUGCUUCUGCCCUACUUUACCUCCAGUGUGAAAUCUUGGCAGUUGAGCAAAAACUCAACACAAGCCAAUUUAUGGAAUCAAUUGUGACAACUCACAUGGGUCUGAGUUUUACCUCCCUGAAACCUUUGGCAAAACAUCUGCAGCUCCUUGUUAGCACAUGCAAAUAGAUCUGGGGCUGUAAUCACUGAUCGAGUGGCAGCACUAAGUGAGGGGGUGCCCAGUGCUGCCCUUCGGGGAUCCCAGUGCCUUGUCAAUACUUGUAUCAAUGACCCAGAGGAAAAUCUGGAAUCAUUACUAAUAAAGAAUGCAGAUGACUCAG